rnacentral:rRNA from 1 species
GACGAACGCUGGCGGCGUGCUUAACACAUGCAAGUCGAACGGUGAAGGGACCGGUUUUUGCUGGUUCUGGAUGAGUGGCGAACGGGUGAGUAACACGUGAGUAACCUGCCCCCUUCUUCUGGAUAACCGCAUGAAAGUGUGGCUAAUACGGGAUAUUCUGCGCCUGCUGCAUGGUGGGUGUGGGAAAGAUAUUGUUUCGGUGGGGGAUGGGCUCGCGGCCUAUCAGCUUGUUGGUGGGGUGAUGGCCUACCAAGGCGGUGACGGGUAGCCGGCCUGGGAGGGUGGAAGGUCACCACGGGGAUGAGGACAGGGCCAGGAUCCUGAGGGAGGCCGGCGUGGGGAAUAUUGGAACAUGGGGGGAAGGCUGAUGCCGGCGCGCCGGGGUGGGGAUGGAGGCCUUUGGGUUGUAAACCCUCUUCGGCAGUGAAGCCAGGCCGGUCCUUUUGUGGGUGGGUUGACGGUAGCUGGAUAAGAAGCGCCGGCUAACUACGUG